rnacentral:rRNA from 1 species
GGCCUCGAGAUGAGUUCUCACUAGACUUUUAAAGUCUCUGAAGGGCCGUUGAAGACUACAACGUUGAUAGGCAAGAUGUGGAAGUGGUGUGAGCCAUUAAGCUAACUUGUACUAAUUACCCGUGAGGCUUAACCAUACAACGCCAAACGCGUUU